UUGAAUCCUCUCAGAACAGAAAUUUAAAAGAAAGAAGUGAGAAUGAUGAGAACAAGGUUGCUAUGGUUCACAUUGGGCUUUGGAUCCUCAACAACUACAAUUACCAACUUCGUCUUCAAAGAUCUCUAGGUUCCAAGACUGGGUCAAUCGUCAAAUUCUCUUGCAUAAUUAUCAGAUAAUUUCAGUUUGGGUUUUCAAUUUAUAUUCAUAUUUCUCUCCUCCAGCCCUAAUUUGGUCUGAUUGCCAUUAUCUUUCUCCUGUUUCUCUCCCCCCUCUGACAAACCCUAAAUUUCAAAGAAGAAUCUAGCUGGUUUGUUAUGGCGGCUGUGUGUUCGGAUUUUGCCUCCUCCAUCGUUGAUAAUAAAUUAAAAGUUAGUUUCUAACUGUGUAUAUUUGCUGUUAAGAAACUCAAUCUUAUUGGUACCUAAUUGUGGGUAAUUUCAUUGUACAUGUUGUUUGGUAAUAAUUAGGGAAGUACACAAUGUGUUUGAUAAAUUGUCUACUUGAACUAGAUAGUCAGCAACUCAGCUUGAAUUGCUUCAAUUUGAACAAAACUUGUAAUGACCAAACAUCAAGGAAAAUUUGUACAUGAAUCUCUGUAAUUGUUAGUGUUGGGGAUAAAGUUUUCUGCAUAACCAAUAAGAUGAAGC
rnacentral:lncRNA from 1 species